rnacentral:rRNA from 1 species
GGUGACUCUCCAACCCUAUGUUAAUUAUACCUUUGUUGCUUUGGCGAGCCGCUCCGGCCACCGGCCUCCAGCUGGUGAGUGCUCGCCAGAGGACCCUAUACUCUGUUUAUACAUGUCGUCUGAGUACUAUAUAAUAGUUAAAACUUUCAACAACGGAUCUCUUGGUUCUGGCAUCGAUGAAGAACGCAGCGAAAUGCGAUAAGUAAUGUGAAUUGCAGAAUUCAGUGAAUCAUCGAAUCUUUGAACGCACAUUGCGCCCUGUGGUAUUCCGCAGGGCAUGCCUGUUCGAGCGUCAGUACAACACUCAAGCCUAGCUUGGUCUUGGGCCUCGCCGGAGACGGCGGGCCUUAAAAUCAGUGGCGGCGCUUCUCGGGCCCUAAGCGUAGUAAUACUCCUCGCUACAGGGACCCGGUGGACGCUGGCCAGCAACCCCCAACUUUCUAAGUUUGACCUCGGAUCAGGUAGGGAUACCCGCUGAACUUAAGCAUAUCAAUAAGCGGAGGAAAAGAAACCAACAGGGAUUACCUCAGUAACGGCGAGUGAAGCGGUAACAGCUCAAAUUUGAAAUCUGGUCCUUUCAGGGCCCGAGUUGUAAUUUGUAGAAGAUGCUUCGAGCGUGGCGCCGGUCUAAGUUCCUUGGAACAGGACGUCAUAGAGGGUGAGAAUCCCGUAUGCGACUGGCCGCCUUUGUUCAUGUGAAGCUCUUUCGACGAGUCGAGUUGUUUGGGAAUGCAGCUCANAAUGGGUGGUAUAUUUCAUCUAAAGCUAAAUAUUGGCCAGAGACCGAUAGCGCACAAGUAGAGUGAUCGAAAGAUGAAAAGCAC